UACGUAGGGUGCGAGCGUUGUCCGGAAUUAUUGGGCGUAAAGAGCUCGUAGGCGGUUUGUCGCGUCGGCCGUGAAAUCUCCACGCUUAACGUGGAGCGUGCGGUCGAUACGGGCAGACUUGAGUUCGGUAGGGGAGACUGGAAUUCCUGGUGUAGCGGUGAAAUGCGCAGAUAUCAGGAGGAACACCGGUGGCGAAGGCGGGUCUCUGGGCCGAUAACUGACGCUGGAGGAGCGGAAAGCGUGGGGAGCGAAACAGG
rnacentral:rRNA from 1 species